rnacentral:lncRNA from 1 species
UGUACCUUGAAAAUGUGCAUGCAUGCUGUACUCAAGUGUGUUUGUGUGCUUUUACCGUUGUAAAGGGAACUGCUUCAAUUCCAAGCCAUUUAGAGGUAGUAUAUUACAUUUAUGAUUACUUUUCAUUUUUGAGUAAUCCACUACAAUCACUAUUGAAAUGUUAUUAUCUCAUGUAAAAUGCACAAGGCAGUCACAAAAUUGAUAUUUAGAACACUCAGAAAGAAAGAUGCAAUUGAAAAUCAAGAGAGCAAAUGUUACUUUGAGACUAGUGAAAACUUCAAGACAUUUUCAACUUCUACAUUUUAGAGUACAUACAUAGUGAUGGUUGAGCACAGAUGACAUGUCAUGAAAAACUGCCCUCUAAAAUGUGAAUUACUUUAGCAGGGUUGUUAGUUAUGAUUUUUAUUUCUACUUCUCUUUUGCUAAAUGCCCUAUGGUUAUGAAGUCAGUUUUCAAACUUAGGAGGUAGAAAACAUGAAGAACCAUUAGAUACUGAUGAAGGUUUUUGAAAGGAGGAUGGGUUAUUCAUUCAAACUGGCUAUCUUUCUCUUGGAUUUGUGAGACAAAUAUUUUAUGAUUAUAUUUUCAUAUUGAUUCUCCUAAACUAUAAAAUUCAAGACACAUUUUGGCAUUCAUUCCUAAUAACCUUAUAUAUAAUAGAAAUAAAAAGUUGCCACUGUAUUAAAUAUCAACAUACCUGCUGAUUUCUAAAUAUUUACUAACAUGGAGAAAAUAAUUUCUGUAGUUAAAAUAUUCUAUUCACUUAUUUUCAAAUUUUCUUUCUAUUAUAGAUUUAGAUACAAUAUACUUUAAUGAGUCCCUUAGUUUCAAAUGAGUCAUUCUCAUGGCAUGACAGAACAGUCUUUGGCAUCAUUAAAAUUAUCUUACAGUGCUGGGGAGUAGCUCAAUGGUACAGCAGUUGCCUAGGUUUGAACAAGGCUCUGAGUUUGUAAAUUUUGUACUUAUAACAAUAUAUCUAUUCUUAUGUUAUAUGCAUAUUAUUGUGAUUUAAAUAGUGGCAAGCUAUAAUUUACCUUCUCAUGAUAACACAAAUUAAAAUAAGCAAAUUAGAAAAAUAGAGAAUUUAGAUUUAAUUUCAAAACCUAAAUCUAGAAUCAGAUUUCUUUAUAUCACUUGUGACUUAUAUUGAAUGUUAAGGUUUAAUUUUCAUGUUGACAUACACAUAAUAGCUGGAAAUUACAUCCCAAAUAUUAGAUAAGGCUUCUUACUGCAUUAUUUUUCACAUUACAUUAUUUUACACUACAAUAUGAAGGAAGAAAAUGACACUU